rnacentral:lncRNA from 1 species
AGUUUGGUCCUGCUUGAGGGACAUUUCACCAGCCUUUGUCAUCUGCUGGGAAAAUCUCAUUCUAAAUAUUUUCAGAAAUUUGACAGAGAGGAAGAAGAAAUCAAGUCAUUUGAACAAGUGAAAGCUUUCUAUGGAAUCAUUGUUUUUAAUAUAAUUUUCAUAGACUCAUAGAAUCAAUGAGGAUGGAAGACACCUCAGGAAGUCCUACAGUACAACCUCAUUUUGCACACCAGUGUGGAGCUGGUAAAACCUGCCAGCUGCAGGGUAUCUCUUCUCUCUGUUUAUUCGUAGGACACGUACAACUGUGCAAACAUCCUAACGCUGGGCUGUCAAUUCGUUUCAGCCAGAGUCCACCCCUUGGGGAUUGUUUGGCCUCUGCACUGACUAUAUCAACACAGUUGCUAAUUAACAGAGAACCAUACCACUGGAACUGUAUUGCAAAGGAUGAUCUAAUGCAACCGCUGCAUGGAGGCAGGACCAGGAAUCUUAAUGCUAAAGUGGAACUGAGAAGAGAUUAUGAUAUUCUUGUUACAAUACAGAGGACAAAUCCUGUAGCCUACCAUAUACAAGUUCAUCUCCUCUUUCAGCAGUCAAUAAACCUCAGACAGUGUAUACAUAUUGGAUAAGAGAAUAACACUUUAUGGCUGCAAAUGAAAUUUGACACUAUAUCUUAAAAACAAAAUUGUCUAAUUGGUGCCAAAUGUGCUUGUUAAUGUGUAUCUAAUUUUACCUGAUUUGUCUAUGUAUGAUUCACUGCCUAACACGAUUAUCUUUUCUUACCUAAGGCAUGCUAUUUUAUCUGAUUAUCUGGCAGCAGUAACCUUUUAUCUCCUGAGGUACUGGAACAUGACACAAGUUGUUCUUGCAUUGUAUUAAUGUGUAAAAUACAUGUCUGUCCUGUCUUGGAAGUGCAGCUGCAAGAGGCAAAGCAGAGCCCCUGACAAGAACCUGUCAUACACGAGUGUGCUCUACACCAUGUUGUCUGCUGUGGAAGUCACAGUCUACUUCAGGAGUGUUUUUCCUCAUCUACAAAACUCUUAAUGGGCUAAAUUUCUGUGGCUGCUUCCUACCUACACCUGCUAAACUUGUCCAGGAUUCCUGGUGAUUGACCUCAGUUCUGACUGGUGGGAGCCACUACAUUUGCUGCAGAAUGGGAGGCUCCCAGCAGCCCCAGCAGAUCAUGUCAGCAGGACACUCUGAGAUGUUCCUUCACUGGAGUGGUGGGUGCUGAAGUUCAGUGAUUGCCCUUGAACCUACCCCAGGACUUUAACUCUGUUCCUGAAAUGGUGCUGCCACACCAGGGCCAGAUGAGGAUUUGGUAAGAGGUACAGAAUUAACUGGGCAUAAAAAGUAUUUUAAUGACUACUGCUUCACUACAAAAUAGCUGUGAACUACUGAACCAGCUUAUGCUGCUUCUCCUGCUUAAGCAGAUGUAUCUCUAAACAGUUGUGAAGGAGUCAGCUAGUGGCAUUCACUUAGGAAAAAAAAUAAAAUCUUAAGGUACUGUGAGGAGAACA